AUGGGGGCUAUACCAUCAGCCCCAUCUUUAAACCUCCUCCCUCCCAGAGAGAAUUAUGACAUUGUUUUCUGCUUAGCCGUCACCUCCCUAAGACCAGGAUGUCUGGAGAUCUUCAAGUCUGCAAUGAACCCUCUCUAUCUGUCCUACAGUAGAAGUUUAUCUGUUCCUUGUGUGUCUGUGAUCUUCCCUCCAGCUGGCCCCAUGGUCAGACCCUCAGUCUCUCUGCUUCAACCCUCCUCUGAGAAGCUCUCUGGAGGCCCAGUCACACUGGCCUGCCUGCUGACCGGCUACUCUCCUCAGGGAGCUGAAGUGAGAUGGGAAGUAGAUGGCACAGAGGUGACAGAGGGAGUCUUGAACAGCUUAGAAGAAGAGAAGAGUAGUCGCUACAGCAGCAGCAGCACCCUGAUGCUGAGCCAAGAGAACUGGAUGAACACAGAGGUGUUCUCCUGCAGGGUGAACCAUCAUGACCACUGGCAGGCCAAGUCCUUCCGCAAGAACCGGUGUGAGGGCUAGAGGGGCUGCUGAUGCUGAAGUCCAGGAGCUUAGUGUGAGGAAGCAGGAGAUACAUCCCUGCUGCUCUGAUCAAUAUGAGUUUGAAAGUUUGCACAUUAAAUUAUUAUUAUAACAACAACUUAGAUAGGGACAUGUUUAAAAUCUGGAUGUGAGUGUUCCUAAUACCUACCAAUUCAAGUUUUUUCACAAUAAAGCUUGGAGUGAUCCAUAUUA